rnacentral:rRNA from 1 species
CCUACGGGUGGCAGCAGUGAGGAAUAUUGGUCAAUGGACGAGAGUCUGAACCAGCCAAGUAGCGUGAAGGAUGACUGCCCUAUGGGUUGUAAACUUCUUUUAUAUGGGAAUAAAAUGUUCCACGUGUGGGAUUUUGUAUGUACCAUAUGAAUAAGGAUCGGCUAACUCCGUGCCAGCAGCCGCGGUAAUACGGAGGAUCCGAGCGUUAUCCGGAUUUAUUGGGUUUAAAGGGAGCGUAGGUGGAUGGUUAAGUCAGUUGUGAAAGUUUGUGGCUCAACCGUAAAAUUGCAGUUGAAACUGGCAGUCUUGAGUACAGUAGAGGUGGGCGGAAUUCGUGGUGUAGCGGUGAAAUGCUUAGAUAUCACGAAGAACUCCGAUUGCGAAGGCAGUUCACUGGACUGCAACUGACACUGAGGCUCGAAAGUGUGGGUAUCAAACAGGAUUAGAUACCCGUGUAGUC